AAAAAAAAGAAAAAGUUUUGCUUCAAUUUUGGAAGAGACCGACCUCGGUCUCCAGCCGAUGGAGAUGAGACCGCCUGGUCUCUCUACUUUUUUGUCCACAUGUCACCAUUUUAUUGGUGAUAAAUUUAAUUUAAAUAGUAGUAUGAUAUUUAUAUAUAGUAGUAUGAUAUUUAUAUAUAGUAUGAUAUUUAUAUAUAUAUAUAUAUAUAAAUAUAUAAAUAUUUAUAUAACUUUUUUUUCUCUAUAAAUAGGCUAGACAUUUGUAAUAUUUUUUCACACUUCAAAAUCCUCUCUUCUCCCAUUUUUAUCAAUUUCUCAAUGGACCCAAGAAAUUUCUUCUCAAAUUCUCCAAAUAUGAUGAACUCUCAAAAUUAUUCUCAAG
rnacentral:lncRNA from 1 species